GGAGAACGGGCUCUGAGGGGCGACCGAGCCGAGGGAAUUGGGCACGGGUGCUAUUUAAAGCGGCGGAGCCGGACAGGCCGGUGGGUCUGGCUGCGGGCACCGCUGUCCGGGCUGCGUGGAGCCGGAGACAGAAAAGGGACUGGCUUUGUCCGGCAGCCCUGCCACGGCCGGUACAUCUGGAAGCCCGAUAAGUUGGUUUGGAAGCGGCGGUUCCCGAGGAGCCAGCGGAGGCAGGGCUUCGUGCAUGGCCGGGCAGCCGCUCCUGCAGCCCCGCCGGCGGCUGCGCGGCGCCGAGGCAACGAGCGGGGAGAGCACAGCCCUGCCCGGGGUCAGCGGGGCUGCUCGCCCAGCUCUGCCAGCGGCACUGCUGCCCCCGGCAGCGAGCCCUUGCCCGCAUCCUUCCUGCGAGCUGGAGACGGAGAGCGGCGAGAGCUGGAGAGCCCCGGCUGGAGCCGAGCGGAGAGCUGCAACAGGAGAGAGUGGCGCAACAGGAUGGAAGAAGUGCCCAGAGGCAGCUGCCAAGUCUGUGAGCUCAGAACCCCACUGGUACUGCUCUGGGAAUGCCUCUGCUAUCCACGGAGAGCUUUGA
rnacentral:lncRNA from 1 species